rnacentral:rRNA from 1 species
CGGAGGGUGCAAGCGUUAUCCGGAAUCAUGGGUUAAAGGGUCCGCAGGUCGGAUUUAUAAGUCAGUGGUGAAAGCCUACAGCUUAACUGUAGAACUGCCAUUGAUACUGUAAGUCUUGAAUUUGGUCGAAGUGGGCGGAAUAUGACAUGUAGCGGUGAAAUGCAUAGAUAUGUCAUAGAACACCGAUAGCGAAGGCAGCUCACUAGGCCAACAUUGACGCUCAUGGACGAAAGCGUGGGGAGCAAACAGGAUUAGAUACCCUGGUAGUCCACGCCGUAAACUAUCAAUACUCGUUUUCAGCGAUAUACUGUUGGAGACUAAGCGAAAGUGAUAAGUAUUGCACCUGGGGAGUACGAUCGCAAGGUUG